CAGUAGCCGCGGUAAAACGUAGGUGGCAAGCGUUGUCCGGAAUUAUUGGGCGUAAAGGGCUCGCAGGCGGUUUCUUAAGUCUGAUGUGAAAGCCCCCGGCUCAACCGGGGAGGGUCAUUGGAAACUGGGAAACUUGAGUGCAGAAGAGGAGAGUGGAAUUCCACGUGUAGCGGUGAAAUGCGUAGAGAUGUGGAGGAACACCAGUGGCGAAGGCGACUCUCUGGUCUGUAACUGACGCUGAGGAGCGAAAGCGUGGGGAGCGAACAGGAUUAGAUACCCCAGUAGUCCCUGUCUCUUAUAA
rnacentral:rRNA from 1 species